GACGAACGCUGGCGGCAUGCCUAACACAUGCAAGUCGAGCGAGUAGAUCCCUUCGGGGUGAAGCUAGCGGCGGACGGGUGAGUAACACGUGGGCAACCUGCCUCAUAGAGGGGAAUAGCCUUCCGAAAGGAAGAUUAAUACCGCAUAAGAUUGUAGUACCGCAUGGUAUAGCAAUUAAAGGAGUAAUCCGCUAUGAGAUGGGCCCGCGGCGCAUUAGCUAGUUGGUGUGGUAACGGCUCACCGAGGCGACGAUGCGUAGCCGACCUGAGAGGGUGAUCGGCCACAUUGGGACUGAGACACGGCCCAGACUCCUACGGGAGACAGCAGUGGGGAAUAUUGCACAAUGGGGGAAACCCUGAUGCAGCAUUGCCGCGUGAGUGAUGACGGCCUUCGGGUUGUAAAGCUCUGUCUUCGGGGACGAUAAUGACGGUACCCGAGGAGGAAGCCACGGCUAACUACGUGCCAGCCGCCGCCGUAA
rnacentral:rRNA from 1 species